UACGAAGGGGGCUAGCGUUGUUCGGAAUCACUGGGCGUAAAGCGCGUGUAGGCGGAUUGUUAAGUCGGGGGUGAAAUCCCGAGGCUCAACCUCGGAACUGCCUUCGAUACUGGCGAUCUUGAGUCCGGGAGGGGUGAGUGGAACUCCGAGUGUAGAGGUGAACUUCGUAGAUAUUCGGAAGAACACCAGUGGCGAAGGCGGCUCACUGGCCCGGUACUGACGCUGAUAUGCGAUAGCGUGGGGAGCACACAGG
rnacentral:rRNA from 1 species